GAGUCUCUUGAACUCGAUACAGAUUUGGUCCGAGGCACAUCAGGGCAGAAUCCGCUAUGAUCAGGUUGUACAAUGGCUGGACAAGAGCGGCCCCAUACGAAUCACUAAGAGUGGCGGAUAUCGGUGACAUUAAUGUUAACCUCUUUGACCUGAAGGACACCUGCAAAAAAAUACGAGAGGCUUAUCGUGAAAUUGUGGCCACUGGCUGCAUCCCACUUACAAUGGGAGGUGAUCAUACAAUCGCAUACCCAAUUCUACAAGCCGUUGCUGAGAGGUUGGGUCCAGCGGGA